GGAGAGAUGGCAGAGUGGUCGAAUGCGGCGGUCUUGAAAACCGUUGAUCUUAACGGGUCCGGGGGUUCGAAUCCCUCUCUCUCCGCAA
rnacentral:tRNA from 3 species